GGGGGUGUAAUGGUUUCGACAGUAUUUUUAGAUUAUAGAUAGCGAGUAGUGGAUGGUCGCUUAAAGCCACUAUAAAAAAGCGAAAAAUAAAUAUAAACGCUGAUAAUAGAGAAUUAGCAUUAGCUGCCUAAGUGCGGCUACGUUUUACCUUGAAUGCCUACGUUUAAGGAUAAGGCGUCGAAACAGUAGGACAACAAAGCUAUUUCUUGCCAUAGAAAUAGUGGGUAUUUAAAUGGCUACUCUGUUUUGGGAUUGUUUGUUAUCCUUAAAACAGGGGAAUAUUAAUAACAAACUACACUCGUAGAGGUCUAUAUGAAGAGGGUAUUGGACAGGAGUUCGACUCUCCUCACCUCCACCA
rnacentral:tmRNA from 1 species